UACGGGGGGGCAAGCGUUGUUCGGAAUUACUGGGCGUAAAGGGCUCGUAGGCGGCCAACUAAGUCGGAUGUGAAAUCCCCAGGCUUAACCUGGGAACUGCAUCCGAUACUGGAUGGCUUGAAUUCGGGAGAGGGAUGCAGAAUUCCAGGUGUAGCGGUGAAAUGCGUAGAUAUCGUGGAGGAAUACCGGUGGCGAAGGCGGCCCGCUGGGCAGGAAGGCUCGCAAGAGCCGGCUGACGCUGAGGCGCGACAGCGUGGGGAGCAAACAGG
rnacentral:rRNA from 1 species